UUACCAGGACGUCACCCAGGACACAAACACUUUGGUGGAAAGCUGCUGCUAUCACAUGUGACAAAAGCAGCAGUGUGGUGUCUCUACAAGGAAUCGYUGACAACACUUGAGGUACAUGUAGUCGGGCUUUCUUCCUUCAGGAAUCUGUGGYGAGAUUGCUGGUGUGGUGAAGGACAGCACUGUGACGGGACAACAUCCCACUGUUGGUUGGACUGGAGCUUUGAUGCUCUGGAGCCUGGUGUUGUUGUCGCCAAAG